AUCUUGGACAAUGGGGGCAACCCUGAUCCAGCGAUGCCGCGUGUGUGAAGAAGGCCUGAGGGUUGUAAAGCACUUUUGUUGGGGAGGAGAGACUAUAGGUUAAGAGCUAAUAGUUGAGACGUUACCCAAAGAAUAAGCACCGGCUAACUCCGUGCCAGCAGCCGCGGUAAUACGGAGGGUGCGAGCGUUAAUCGGAAUUACUGGGCGUAAAGGGUGCGCAGGUGGUUUUUUAAGUUAGCCGUGAAAUACCUGGGCUCAACCUGGGAGUGUCAGCUAAGACUGGAAAACUUGAGUAUAGGAGAGGGUAGUGGAAUUUCCGGUGUAGCGGUGAAAUGCGUAGAGAUCGGAAGGAACACCAGUGGCGAAGGCGGCUACCUGGCCUGAUACUGACACUGAGGCACGAAAGCGUGGGGAGCAAAC
rnacentral:rRNA from 1 species